GAUGAGCAUGCAACGUUUCCUCUACUAAUUGUGUGCCUUAAGAAACUGAGGAAAGAGGGCCGACUAUCUCUGUUCUGCCACUGUUCUACACGCUCUGUUUCCUUGGUUACAGCUCAGCUGUCAAUCAAACCUCAUGCUUGAUUGAUUCCAGCUUCUUAUUCUUGUUGCUUGGAUACACAGCAACUCAGCUCCACCUCCCGUUGUGAAGCAUCCGUUCCCAACAUGGCAGUUGGAAGCAACAGUUGGUGUUUCUUCCUCUUGCUUUGCCAGAGUUCCUGACUCUUUCUUGGAUGGAAACUCCAAUUCCUUCAAUUUCACCCCAUUUUUUAUUUUCUCGGCUUUCAAAAGUACAACCUUUGAACCAUCUGCAAGCUUAUUUGGGUUUUUUGGCUCAAUUGGUUUUGAUUUCAGUUGUCUCAAAGGCAUAUUUAACGAACCUUCCCAAACACUAUCACUAGCUGUAAUAAGUAUUUUUUUAAUAAACUUUUGUCAUUGCUAUUCCCAGACGCAUGUAGGUCUGUGGCCACCUGAGAACUCUGAGAACGUAAAAUCUGUGGCUGAGAUUGGUUUCACAGUAUUUGAUUUUUCCUCUAACGGCCUUUAACACUUCUGUGCAUACUUUAUUUAAAUUUUAUUUGGGAACGUAAAGGCCAAAAACACACUUGGCUGGCUUUACAGGAAACUUUAAAACUAAUGUGAAAGCUCAGGAGUUAACAGUGGUAACUGAAAUAACUUUGGACUGGAACUCCUGCUACAUAUGAUGGCACACAAGGAAUAACCCAACAGAUGGUGAGUUGCUCCUCCAGAGAAUGGAUUGCUGCCACUCAGAGAAUGUAUCAUUUCCUCUGCUACCAUAAGCAGCCAGCUUCGUUAUGGAUUUGGAAGGAUGUUCCAGAAUGAGGAGGAAUUUAAUGGCAAAAAAGGAAAAUAAAGAAGUGAGAAAUAAGAUGAACUUAUUCUAGAAGAUAACAGGAGUGACCUGUGGUAGAGGGGAGCCAUAAAAAUGGGUUCUUUUCCCCCUGUGACAGAGGAUUCAGAAGUGAAUUUCCAGGGUGAAGCUGGCUGCAACUAAGAAUGUAUAUACACCAUAAAGAACUUACCCUUCGUGAUGGUGGUGGUGAUGAUGGUGGUGGUGGUGAUGAUGAUGGUGAUGAUGCUGUGGCCCAAUAAACUGACGGCAGUUAAAUAAUUCAUUUCCAAUUGCUUCCCCGAGAAAGUCCCCUGUAUGUGUUAUGCAGGAAUCUUGAGAACCUUGUGAUAUGUGAGUUGCACUCAUUUCUCCAGUCAUAUCGUGGUCUGUGUCCUCUGUGUGUGAACAAGGGUCUAGCAUUCUAAUCCGGUUAUCCACUGGUGGUAAAGAGUCAGUAUUAAAAACGUGGUCAUUUCCAGUUCCAUUGCUUACACCGCUUCUCUCUGCUGAUGCCUGAGCUUCUCCCAAGCAAAUGCCUGACUGAGAUUCCAUUUUUCGGCUUCGCAAUUCUGCACUUCGACCAUUUUUCUGGGAGUUAUGACUCCGCUCUUCCUCCUCCUCCUCUUCCUCCUCCUUGAGAGCUUCAAUAUCAGCAAUGUCCUCUGACUGCACCUCACUGCCUGGGCUCCCUGCAGAUUGGCUUGCAUGGCUGGAGUUGGCCUCGUUGCUGGACCCAUCACUGUGGCCGCUGCUGCUUCCUGGCCCACUGCUGCCAUCUUCACCACUAUUUGCUGUCUCAUCAGAGCUUCCUUGCAUUGAUUCCUUUAAGAAAACAUACAGGGAUACAAAACUUGAGUUUUUAUUUCCGAAAUACACAUUCUACAUUUUCAGUGCCUAUUGGGAUUCCCCAGAGACUCUGAAUGAAAAACAAAGAUAUGAAAUUACGAUACAAUCAAUCUUCUAAAAUGUAUCAACAAUGAACUGUAGAAAUAUAUUCCAACAUAGCAAAUGUGAAAGCACACAAAAGAAAGUAAAGUGGUUGAAAUGCUAACCAAUAUUUUGAUUAAUACUAACUAAUAAUAUAAUAUUAGCUAAUAUUAAUCAAUCAUUUAUUCUGAAAAAAAGAAGAAGUUUCAUGCUUGUUUGAAAGAUGUUCCUUGGAGAACAGAUUGUAACUAUUUUCAACUGUUGUUUUGGUCUAUCUAAUAAGAAGUGGUGUGUGAAAUAUAGACAUUUCCCCCCUUUUCCAGAAAGUAAAAAGUAGAUGACAUUUCUCUGUUUUCACCAAGAAGGGAACACACUCCACAGCCUAAAUCAGAAAAAUAGUGAUUUAAAUGUUCAUGAAACUAUGCUCCUCAAGGACUAUCCAACUCCCAGAUGGCAGCAUUAAUUAGAAGAGCUUGUUUGUCAUAUAUCAAUGGCAGACAACCUGUGGAAACUCUGCCCAGAUUAACUGUGACUUCAAAAAAAGUCAAACUGUGACAUCAAGAGGCACAAUCCAGAGGGAGAUGAGAGAGCUGGUAGGUCAUUCACCUCUCUGAUCAGCCUAAUUUGUCUGUUGAAGCUAUCACCAUAAAGGAAAAUAAAAUAUUUUACCUCUGUAUCUGAAAGCCGCUGCUGAACAUGUUUAUUUCUACUAAUCAGCUGCUCUUCCAUUUCAAUGUCACUUCCUCCACUCUGAUGAGUAUCACUGUUGUCACUACUUUGAGGACUUGCCGCAGGUGACCCUGUUUCAGGAGGAAUUUUCAACUUACUCCAGCUUUUUCAACACAUCACAUCACAUCGCAGCAUAGUGAAGCCAAGAAGUUUUUAAUUAAGAAUAAGGACUUCAACACCAAAAUAACUCAGCUGUAAU